rnacentral:rRNA from 1 species
UACGUAGGUGGCAAGCGUUGUUCGGAAUUAUUGGGCGUAAAGGGUGCGUAGGCGGUCUUGUGUGUCGGAUGUGAAAUACCACGGAUCAUCCGUGGAACUGCAUUCGAAACUGCAGGGCUGGAGUGCAGGAGAGGAAGGUGGAAUUCUCGGUGUAGCGGUGAAAUGCGUUGAUAUCGAGAGGAACGCCGGAGGCGAAGGCGACCUUCUGGACUGCAACUGACGCUGAGGCACGAAAGCUAGGGGAGCAAACAGG